rnacentral:lncRNA from 1 species
GGCGGACGUGGCCUUGCGGCAAACCCUCUCCUUUACGGAACACCUGGCGUGCCAGCGAGGCAUCAGGUGUUCCCUUUUGCUGUGCGUACACAGCUCGGCUCGUUGGUUGUGAAUAGCAUUGUGAAACAUUGCCGAAUCACCUAAGGUUUAAGGCAGCAUGGCUUCAACACUGUGUUUCUUAAGCUUCCUAUCUGUGUUCGUGACAUUCUGUGUCCUUGCUCCAGCGACACUGACUGUGCCAAGCCACCAUGAUUGGGAGGUUAACAUAGUUCUCAUCGAGGAUGGAAUAGAUCAACACCCUGGAACUAGCGUGCAUUCGAAAGAAGCAUACUACCAGGAGAUGUGUCUAUCCGUUUCGCGACGCCUCCAACUGCUUCGUGUCGGAACAUUCUAUUUCAGAAAAGGAUUCUUAACGUUAUCACAUGAAGAAAGCCAAGCUCUGUUUGUAAGAGCUGGGAGGCCAGCGAAUAUAAACGAAGUAUUUCUCCAAUGGAAGUCAACAUUAGCUAAGAAGUACAAAAGACAUACCGCUGGUAAAGAUCUGGUCAUUUUACUAACGAGACGGACAAUCACAGCACCUAAUGGGGCAGGGGGCUCUGGCAAG